rnacentral:tRNA from 1 species
CAGCAAGUAGUUUAGUUAAAAAUUUAAGUUUUGGAGAUUUAGGAUGGGAUAUUUUCUUUUUGCUGA